rnacentral:rRNA from 1 species
GAUGAACGCUGGCGGCGUGCCUAAUACAUGCAAGUCGAGCGAAUGGAUUAAGAGCUUGCUCUUAUGAAGUUAGCGGCGGACGGGUGAGUAACACGUGGGUAACCUGCCCAUAAGACUGGGAUAACUCCGGGAAACCGGGGCUAAUACCGGAUAACAUUUUGAACCGCAUGGUUCGAAAUUGAAAGGCGGCUUCGGCUGUCACUUAUGGAUGGACCCGCGUCGCAUUAGCUAGUUGGUGAGGUAACGGCUCACCAAGGCAACGAUGCGUAGCCGACCUGAGAGGGUGAUAGGACAAACGGGAAAUGAGACAAGGUAAAGACUCCUACGGGAGGCAGCAGUAGGGAAUGUUGUGAAAUGGGGGGAAGCAUGAGAGAGAAACGGCGAGUGAGAGAUGAAGGUAUUCGGAUAGGAAAAAUCUGUUAUUAGGGAAGAAAAAAAGUGUAAGUAAAGAUGCAAGGCUUGAGGGUAACUAAUCGGAAAGACAGGGAUAAGUACGUG